AAAUGAAUUGACGGGGGCCCGCACAAGCAGCGGAGCAUGUGGUUUAAUUCGAAGCAACGCGAAGAACCUUACCGGGUUUUGACAUCCGCUAAAAGCAUGAGAAAUCAUGUGUGUCUUCGGACGAAGCGAGACAGGUGGUGCAUGGUUGUCGUCAGCUCGUGUCGUGAGAUGUUGGGUUAAGUCCCGCAACGAGCGCAACCCCUACGGUCAGUUGCAAACAGGUCAAGCUGUGCACUCUGGCAGGACUGCCGUGGAUAACACGGAGGAAGGUGGGGACGACGUCAAAUCAUCAUGCCCCUUAUGACCCGGGCUACACACGUGCUACAAUGGCCGUGACAAAGAGAAGCGAAGCCGCAAGGCGGAGCGGAUCUCAGAAAAGCGGUCUCAGUUCGGAUUGUGGGCUGCAACCCGCCCACAUGAAGUCGGAGUUGCUAGUAAUCGCGAAUCAGCAUGUCGCGGUGAAUGCGUUCCCGGGCCUUGUACACACCGCCCGU
rnacentral:rRNA from 1 species